CUUCGCCGUCUCUGACCGGAGAAAUCGUGGGGAAAAAAUAGCGAGGGCCAAGAAACAGAAGAACCCGCGGGGAGAAGGCGAGAGGGGGGAUCAGGAAUUCAGGAUGCGGCUCUCCUUCCCCCUGGUGGCCGGCGCCGUCGUGAUUGGAGUGAUCUCUGGGAAUGUUAUAUUUGGGCCACCUCUUCAGAAGUACUGGGCAGAGAAGCAGCAGCAGCAGCAGCAAGAGGGAGCAAAAGAGGGGCAAACUGGAACGACAUAAUUAAACACAAGUGAAGCCAGUUUUGCUGAUUCAACUUCUGCCAAGCUUACAAGAAGUCCCAAUAUCAGAACGCUGAAGCUACAACAUUGUGAAAACUAUUCCAUUAGUAUGCUCUAGCUCUAGCCUUUGUUAGAACAGUUUCAGGUAGCUGUAUCUGUAUGCCCUAGUUGUUGAAAGGAACAUUGCAACAUCCACAGAUGAAAGGAACAUUCCAAACCAUCAUUUUGGGCACACCAUUGUGAUAUUGAGUUUUGUGUUUUGUAAAUAGCUCCAAAUUAGUUUCAUACCCAA